rnacentral:misc_RNA from 1 species
GGAAGGAUCAUUAUUGAAUUAGCGAGGGCUGUCUGCUGGCCCCUUCGGGGGCAUGUGCACGUCCGAGCCGUUUAAAUCAACACCUGUGAACUCACCGUAGGCCUUCGGGCUUAUGUAUCAUAUAUAUAUACUCA